rnacentral:lncRNA from 1 species
UGCGCCCAGCCGUCUCGGGGAACAUGAAGAAGAUGUGGAUGAACGCGGCAAAGUUGAACGUCCCGAAGAUGAAGUACGUCUUCCACGCGAUGUUCGACAGGCCCGGCGGCACCGCGUACGCGAGCGCAAAGUUGAACAGCCAGUUCGCGCUCGUCGACAUCGAGACCGCCUUCGCGCGCACGCGCAUCGGGAAGAUCUCCGCAGGGUACGUCCACGAGACGGGCCCCAUCGUGAUCGCGAACGAGCAGACGAAGAAGUACGAGAACACGAUGACCGCCUUCGUGAUCCCGUCGUGGCCCGUGAUCAUCCACACGGGCUCGUUGUCGACCGUGCCCCACGCGCCGUAAGUGCCCUGGAGGCCGCCGACGAGGAAGAGCCAGAUGCCCAUGAGGAGCGUGCCGGCGAGCAGCAUCGGGCGGCGGCCCCACUUGUCGAUGUAGAUGAUCGCGGGGAUGGUGAACACGACGUUGAGCACGUACUGGACCGCGUCGGCGAUGAGGUUGCCGCGGCGGCCGGUGAGGCCCGCGCCCUGGAAGACGUAGAUGAUGUAGUACAUCAUGAUGUUCAUGCCCGAGAGCUGCGACCACAUCUGGAGCGAGGCCCCGAGCGUGACGCGGCGGAAGAUGCCGGGCUUGAAGAGGUCGAGGUACGACUUGGCGCCCUCGGUGCGCUCGAA